rnacentral:sRNA from 1 species
GGUAGUGUAGGGGCUUCGGCACGUGUGUUAUUCCCCGGGAUUUCUGUAUUAACCCUGCUUCUGGUAAGCUUGUCUGGCCGGCAUUCCUUUAAGGCCUAAGGAUGAAGGCGAGAAGAAAUAAAAAGCAGAUCCCAAGCUUUCGCAAGUUAAUAAAAACUAGUAAAGUCAAACUUGAAAACAAGCUAAAAAAUAAGCAGUUUAAACAACAAAGCACUCUCAAGAAGUACCGAAAAGAACAGAGGAAACUAAGGCAAGCUGUGAAAGAUGCUGUGUCUAAGAAACCCAUUCCAUUGGAGAACCCAAAGGAAAAGCGACCAGGUAAAAGGAUUGAGAGGGAAGAAGAGGAAGAAGAAGAAGCCCUUCCUUUAGAUAUGAUGGAUGAAGAUGACUUACAGUUAAUGAAGGAUUUAGGACAAAGAGCAUCUUUUCUAACAAGAGAUCUUUCUUCUAGGUAAUACUUCAUUUGGGUUAUAAUCAUUCAUAUCCAUUUAGUGUUAAAAACUUAGUUCUGAAUUUCACUUAGGUGGUUCAAGGUGUUCACCUUUGAGCACAAUGUUUACAAAGAAUAAACUAUUAUUUAGCUUAUUUCCUAAAUAAAGGAGGUUCAUGUAUAAGACAAGCUGAUUUCAUUUAAUGUACAUCUUUCUUUUGAGUCUGAAUAGUGAAGUAGAGUGAAUGGGGGAAGAAUGCUGUUCUCACUUUGACGUAUUGGCAGAACAGUUCUGAGUUCUUUAUGGGUAUGAUCUCACUUAAUCCUCAUUACCCUGCUGGUAGGUCUUAUUCCCAUUUCCAGAGAGGAAACUGAUGGUUCCCUGCAGUCACAAGUAUCUGGAAUUUAAACUUGGACCUUUUAAACUCCAAAGUCUAUGCUAUACUCUAAAGAUUUUGGGAAAGUAAGAGUCACGCUUGGUUUUAUGAACUGUUCUUCAAAAACAGUCUGCUGUAACUUUUACCUUUAUUUUGCAUCUAGAGGGAAAACUGGAUGUAGCCAAAGUUUGAGUUUGUAUGGUAGGCUGUUUACCCAUUUCAUUUAUUCAUUUGUUGUUUGAGUGCCUGCUAUGUGCCAGACACUGGCCUAAGUGCUCAUAUCCAUAUACCUAUUGAAAGUUGGCUCGUGGGUUAUUUUUCUGUACUUUUGAAAUGAUAGGUCUCUAGAUACCUUUUUAGAUCUAUUAAGACUGAAAAUUGAUCUUUUUUUCCCCUGCAGUGAGCCCGUUCAUGCGAAGAAACGGAAGCAUAAACGCAUUAUAGAUAAAUAUGAAAAAAUACCAAGAACUCUGCAAACUGUACCAGAGAAGGAACUGAUUCAUUUACUUCCUAUCAAAGAUAAAAGCGGUAUAAUCCCACAGACUAGGGAGAAGCCAGUUACUGAUAGUAACAAAGAUGAAGAGGAUCAAGAAGAAGAGAGGGAACUUGAGGAAGAGAUCAUUGAAGAUCCUAUUCAAGAGCUGACCAUAGAAGAACAUUUGAUUGAGAGAAAGAAGAAAUUACAGGAGAAGAAGAUGCAUAUUGCAGCCUUAGCAUCUGCCAUAUUAUCAGAUCCAGAAAGUAAUAUUAAAAAAUUGAAAGAAUUACGUUCUAUGUUGAUGGAACAAGAUCCUGAUGUGGCUGUUACUGUUCGAAAGCUGGUAAUUGUUUCUCUGAUGGAGUUAUUUAAAGAUAUUACUCCUUCAUAUAAAAUCCGGCCCCUCACAGAAGCAGAAAAAUCUACUAAGACCCGAAAAGAAACCCAGAAGUUAAGAGAAUUUGAAGAAGGCCUGGUUAGCCAAUACAAGUUUUAUUUGGAAAAUCUGGAACAAAUGGUUAAAGAUUGGAAGCAGAGGAAGCUGAAGAAAAGUAAUGUAGUUUCCUUAAAGGCAUACAAAGGACUGGCAGAAGUCGCUGUGAAGAGCUUGUGUGAGCUGUUGGUGGCACUGCCUCAUUUUAACUUUCAUAACAACAUCAUUGUAUUGAUUGUCCCUCUCAUGAAUGACAUGUCAAAAUCGAUAUCUGAAAUGUGUUGUGAAGCUGUGAAGAAACUCUUUAAGCAAGAUAAAUUAGGCCAAGCUUCUCUUGGUGUAAUUAAAGUGAUUUCUGGUUUUGUGAAGGGCAGAAAUUAUGAAGUUAGGCCAGAGAUGUUAAAAACAUUUUUAUGUCUAAGAAUCAAGGAAGUAGAAGUGAAAAAAGAUACAGAAGACAUUAAUAAACCAAAAAAA